UUGCGAUCUCGGGCGACCACCAGAAUGC
rnacentral:sRNA from 1 species